CCCUUAGAUGUUCUGGGCGGCCCGCGCACUACAAUGGCGCUUUCAGCGAGUUCCUAUGUUGAAUUUUCCUGGGUAUUCUUGGAAGCGGCGUCUUGACUUGGGGUAGAUCCUUGUAAUUGUUGGUUUUGAACGAGGAAUUCCUUGUAAUCGCGGUUGAUCAGCUCGCGUUGAAUACGUCCCUGCCCUUUGUACACACCGCCCGUCGCUCCUACCGAUGAAUCGUCCGGUGAAGUUCACAGAGUGGCGGUUCGUGGAGUUGCUCGCGAAGUGAAAUGGACCUCACGAUUUAGAGGAAGGAGAAGUCGUAACA
rnacentral:rRNA from 1 species